AUUGAACGCUGGCGGCAGGCCUAACACAUGCAAGUCGAACGAGUGGCGGACGGGUGAGUAAUGUCUGGGAAACUGCCUGAUGGAGGGGGAUAACUACUGGAAACGGUAGCUAAUACCGCAUACCAUCAGAUGUGCCCAGAUGGGAUUAGCUUGUUGGUGGGGUAACGGCUCACCAAGGCGACGAUCCCUAGCUGGUAGGAGAGGAUGACCGGCCACAAUGGAACUGAGACACGUGCCCGAUCCCUACGGGUGGAAGCAGUGUGGAAUAUUGCACAAUGGGCGCAAGCCUGAUGCAGCCAUGCCGCGUGUAUGGAGAAGGCCUUCGGGUUGUAAAGUACUUUCAGCGGGGAGGCGUUACCCGCAGAAGAAGCACCGGCUAACUCCGUGCCAGCAGCCGCGGUAAUAC
rnacentral:rRNA from 1 species